rnacentral:tRNA from 1 species
CCAACUUUGGCACAGUGGUUUAAGCGUAGGUCUCAUAACCGAAAGAUCGCGGGAUUGAAUCCCGCUAGAGGCU